rnacentral:ncRNA from 1 species
UAAAAGACGAUGAAGAGAAGAGUAGAUAUAGGGGACGUUUUAGCGAGUCGGUGAUGGUGAGAGUCCGAUAUGAAGCCUUUAUUGAAGAACAUCUCGGAGUUGCUAAUCGAAAUCAUUAAGACUGUGAAUGAUGAGAGUAGACUUAGCCGGAGCCAAACCGUUAUUCAUUGGGCAGCAUAACUAAGAUUGUGCUGAUGAGUGGUCAUGUAGAUGACAAUAAGGGUGGUACCGCGAAAUGAGAGUCUUUCGUCCCUAGG